GCCCGCAUAGCUCAGCCGGUAGAGCAUCUGAUUUGUAAUCAGAGGGUCGGGGGUUCAAAUCCCUCUGCGGGCUCCA
rnacentral:tRNA from 1 species